rnacentral:rRNA from 1 species
CGGCGUGCUUAACACAUGCAAGUCGAACGGAAAGGCCCUUCGGGGUACUCGAGUGGCGAACGGGUGAGUAACACGUGGGUGAUCUGCCCUGCACUUUGGGAUAAGCCUGGGAAACUGGGUCUAAUACCGGAUAGGACCACGGUCUGCAUGGAUUGUGGUGGAAAGCUUUUGCGGUGUGGGAUGGGCCCGCGGCCUAUCAGCUUGUUGGUGGGGUGAUGGCCUACCAAGGCGACGACGGGUAGCCGGCCUGAGAGGGUGACCGGCCACACUGGGACUGAGAUACGGCCCAGACUCCUACGGGAGGCAGCAGUGGGGAAUAUUGCACAAUGGGCGCAAGCCUGAUGCACGACGCCGCGUGAGGGAUGACGGCCUUCGGGUUGUAAACCUCUUUCGGUAGGGACGAAGCGCAAGUGACGGUACCUACAGAAGAAGGACCGGCCAACUACGUGCCAGCAGCCGCGGUAAUACGUAGGGUCCGAGCGUUGUCCGGAAUUACUGGGCGUAAAGAGCUCGUAGGUGGUUUGUCGCGUUGUCCGUGAAAACUCACAGCUCAACUGUGGGCGUGCGGGCGAUACGGGCAGACUGGAGUACUGCAGGGGAGACUGGAAUUCCUGGUGUAGCGGUGGAAUGCGCAGAUAUCAGGAGGAACACCGGUGGCGAAGGCGGGUCUCUGGGCAGUAACUGACGCUGAGGAGCGAAAGCGUGGGGAGCGAACAGGAUUAGAUACCCUGGUAGUCCACGCCGUAAACGGUGGGUACUAGGUGUGGGUUUCCUUCCUUGGGAUCCGUGCCGUAGCUAACGCAUUAAGUACCCCGCCUGGGGAGUACGGCCGCAAGGCUAAAACUCAAAGGAAUUGACGGGGGCCCGCACAAGCGGCGGAGCAUGUGGAUUAAUUCGAUGCAACGCGAAGAACCUUACCUGGGUUUGACAUGCACAGGACGCCGGCAGAGAUGUCGGUUCCCUUGUGGCCUGUGUGCAGGUGGUGCAUGGCUGUCGUCAGCUCGUGUCGUGAGAUGUUGGGUUAAGUCCCGCAACGAGCGCAACCCUUGUCUCAUGUUGCCAGCACGUUAUGGUGGGGACUCGUGAGAGACUGCCGGGGUCAACUCGGAGGAAGGUGGGGAUGACGUCAAGUCAUCAUGCCCCUUAUGUCCAGGGCUUCACACAUGCUACAAUGGCCGGUACAAAGGGCUGCGAUGCCGUGAGGUGGAGCGAAUCCUUUCAAAGCCGGUCUCAGUUCGGAUCGGGGUCUGCAACUCGACCCCGUGAAGUCGGAGUCGCUAGUAAUCGCAGAUCAGCAACGCUGCGGUGAAUACGUUCCCGGGCCUUGUACACACCGCCCGUCACGUCAUGAAAGUCGGUAACACCCGAAGCCGGUGGCCUAACCCCUUGUGGGAGGGAGCCGUCGAAGGUGGAUCGGCAUUG